UUCAGAUCCAUCAUUCAGCAACCACAGUGCUUAUGUUUUGUCAGAUUUCAUGGACUUUCAUUGUGCGCGCUCCCGCUACCAAACUGGUAGUGAAGAAAAGAGGAUACCAUUACUGACCCCUCUCCAUGCAAAUUGGAAGCAUUGCAAGGCCCUUGUUAUCAUUCCUGCAACAGUAUGCCUUGGAAAACAGUAUUUUGUUUCUGAGUUUCUUAGUGUUGCUCUCAAGUGGGAUACAAAGAAGGUUUUGGAAAUACUAUGGUCACAUUUUCUUGAGAAGCAGCACAGAAAAACUUUAAUCUCAUUUAAGGCCUUGAUAAUUUGGUAGAGCAAAAAUAGAUGAAUGCACCAGGUUUGCUGUUUGGUGUGGGGAAUGAAGCAGCGGUGGGUUCCUACCGGUUUGACUGAACCAGUAGUGGUUUGGUGGCCUGGGCUGCUGGAACGAGCUGCAAGCCAGUCUUGCCACGCCCUGAAUUGGUUCUCCUAUGGCACCACCAUCUUGAUUUUCAGUUCUGCGCAUGCACAGGACAAUUUUCAUUGAACAAAUUUAAUUUGUUUUCAUUUUUAAAGUUUUGUGCAUGCACAGACCUGUUUAUGAGCAAAUGUGCAGGCACAUUUUUGCACGCACCGAACCGGCAGUAAUGCCAGGAGCAACCCACCCCUAGGAUGAAGGCAAAGGUUCGUAUCUUUUCAGUACAACUUUUUUUAGACUACUUUUCUGUAUUGCAUCUGUUGUACUUGUUAUGUAAUGGGGGCGGGGAAUUAUUGAACGUGUUCUUCUGCUUUUAAUAGCAGCUUGAUCUGUGGGCACUUGCUGAUGAAACCUCUGAGAUGCAGAGAUAACAUUAUCUUCUGUUAACAUUAACAGACAUAAAUAAUUUUACAACCUUAUCUGCAAGGACUAGUAAUUAGCAGCAAAACAAAAAGGCUGCAAUCCCUGCCUGGAAACAUCCUCCCUAAACUCUGAAUGUUCCUAUAGGACAAGCAUUUCAGGAAUUAUGGAAAAAAGAGAAGGAAAAAAGGGCAAAAUGCAAGUUGUGCAAAACUUCCUUGGCAUCAAUGGGGAAAAACACAGAGAAUAUUAUGUCUUUGUGUUGGGUUGUACCUUCAUUUUCUUUUUUGUGGUAAUAGUAAUGUUUUGGUCUCUUCAUCUGUCCUUUGAGCAUUAGAUCGGCUUCAGAGGUUUCAAAUUUUGGGUUGUUUUUGUUUUUGGCUUAGGCUGGAUUUGGUUACGGCUUACCUAUCUCGCGCCUGUAUGCCCAGUACUUCCAAGGAGACCUGAAGCUCUAUUCUCUAGAAGGUUAUGGCACAGAUGCUGUUGUCUUUAUAAAGGCUUUAUCAACCGAGUCUGUUGAAAAAUUGCCAGUGUAUAACAAAUCGGCUUGGAAACAUUACACGGCCAAUCAUGAAGCAGAUGACUGGUGUGUCCCAAGUAGCGAACCAAAGGACAUGACAACAUUCCGCAGCACAUAGCAGGAGGCCAGGCGUGCUGAGCCAAAGAGGGUCGUGUCAGCUAUGGUCAGCUUCCUUAUUAGCACCACUAUCACAUGUUUUAACGGGGAAGGAUGCAUCUCCAUAUCCAAGCUGGAGUCUGAAAACCAUAUCAUUGCCUAGAGUGUUCAUUUCUAACCAGUGGUGUUUUUCCUUCUUUGCAUCUUAAAUUCCUUCUGCAAAUGCACCUUAGAUUAUUUGAGCAAAGACUAGAAGGCAAAAGACCCGAACAGUGUUCAGAUAUUGUUCUGCUUAACUACCAGUCAUUCCAGUGAACGAUUCAUGGGAUGGAUGAUUUACUUUAUACACCUCCUCUGGGAUCAUUUGCACUAGCGCAGCCUUUUUUUUUGCUCUCAAGGACUUCAGAAGGGCUUUCCAAUGUGAGAGAAACAAUGUGAGCUUAUCCCGUUUGUUCCUUUUUUUGUAUUAAACAUUAUGCGGAAUUGAUUAAUUGGUUGCUAUCAGCAUAAACAACUCUUUAUAUUUAUAGGUCUGUAUUUACAUCUAGACGUAGAAGUGCUUGAGCCUCAUUCAUUUUGUUUUGAAAAUUGAACUAUUUUAAAUAAAUAAAUGAUACUUCAAA